UUUCCAAAGCGCGAUCAAAGAAAUCCAGCUGGGCUGUUGUUCGAUUUUCGUAUAUAUUUUUCAGUUGAUUUGCAGAUGGGAGGAAUCGCUGCGCAAACUUAAUUUGAUCAGUCAGUAUGCAUAUGUCCAUGUCUUUGUGUUUUCAUGUGUGUGUGUUUGUGUGUGUAUGAAAUUGGCCUAGAUUAAUCAUAGCACUCUAAAUCUCAUUACUUGGAACAUCUGAGGGAACGCUGUCUAUAAAAGGGCUCUUUGGAGGGGGCUUUCAAAUCGGGCCUUCAUCAGAUCAAAGGCCUCAGAUCUGGGAUGAACAUUUGUCCUUAGCGGAUAUGUUUCGAGAUAAUCAAGCAUGGUCAGAGAAUCCACCAUUGGGUGAAGCGCAGCAGCAAGAGCUCCAUGUUCUCGCUGAUUCCCGACCGAGCCGUCCAUGAACCUGUCGAUAUCACGAUAUGAUGUCAAAAGAAGAGCCCUCAUAACAAACUGAGAGGGGGCUGGGUGGAAAGCAAGAAGAUAAAGAAAGAUGGAGGGGAGGACCAUCGCCAACUAAGCCCAGUUGUGAUUAAAGAUGGCGGCCAGCGAUGUUGCAGACUGCGUAGCACGAGACCCGAUCCGUUGAGACAAUCAGGAAAGUCUACGUUGAAGAACAGCGAAAAAGUUGUUCUUCCGUACACUGAGAUUCGAAUGGGGACAGUCAGUAACCUGGAAUGGACCGAUUUUUUGUGGACAUUCACCUUGGAUUCUCUGAAAAAGAAGAGGAUGCAGUUUUUACUGGAACUUGAUAUAGUUAAUGGUAUUGAAAUGGAAUCUUCUGUCAAUGGAGGGAGAGUUGGGGGAAGCCAGAAAACGCAAGACAGAAACUUACCGUUUCCUCAGGUAAUGAAUUUACCUUUUCAUUCAUAUUAACUAACUGAAGUAUGGGAACAAAACAAAAGUGAAGGGCAGAUAUAUAGUUAGGAAUUGCUAUGCCUUGAUAACAAAUUUAUUUACAGUAACUGUGUGUAUAUAUAUAUAUAUAUGAUAUAUAGUUAGGUAAAUUGCUAUGCCUUGAUAACAAAUUAAUUUACUAGUACUGUGUGUAUAUAUAUAUAUAUAUAUACACACACACACACGUCAAAAAAAAUAUUUUGUUCAGCAAGGACAAAACUUUAUAAAUCAAAUAAUCCUGAUCAAAAAUAUUAAGCAGCACAACUGUUUUAAACAUUGAAAAUAAUAAGAAUUGUUUCUUGAGCAGCAAAUCAGCAUAUUAGAAUGAUUUCUGAAGGAUCAUGUGACACUAAAGACUGGUGUAAUGAUGCUGAAAGUUUAGCUUUGCACCACAGGAAUAAAUUACAUUUUAAAAUAUAUCCAAAUAUAAAACAGCAAUGUUAAAUUGUACAAAUAUUUCACAAUAUUAAUGUUUUAACUUCAUUUUGAUCAAAUAAAUGCAGCCUUGGUGAGCAUAAAAAAAAAAAAAACUAAUUGCAUAAUCACAAAAAAAUCCUACUUAACCCAAACUUUUGAACAGCAGUGUAUCUUGUAUACAAAUAAAAAAGGGAAAAAGGAAGGGUUCAUUUGGCAUGGUCAUCAAAAUUUCUUAACAUUUUUUUGGUGAUCUUGGCUUGGCAAAUCAUGACAAAUGUUCCUUUAAUGUUCUUUUGUGAAAGUUAAGGUGUGUCAAAAUUUCCGAGAUGAACACCUAACGAACACCUAACUACACCCAGACUUGAUUUCCCAUGAGCAGUUUGUAAUAUGUCAUUAAAUUCAUGGUUCCACACAAACCACUCUUUCAUUUUCAGAUGAGCUUAUCAAAUAAAGUCAUAAAAAGGAGGAACAGGGCUUCACAUUCCAAAGGCCUUUGAUCUUUUUGCAAUGAAUCCAUGAGAUUACAUGCCUGAUUAUAUCCAGGUGUUGAGUCAUAACU
rnacentral:lncRNA from 1 species